CAGAGGCCUUACUUUCAUGUCUUGUGCUGGUAAUGAACGGGUCUUAAGUUUGCUGAACUAACAACAUUAUGAUCCAAAUUUACAGUCAAGUUUGGUCAGAUCAAACAGACACUAACUGAACUAAAAUCCAGAUCCCGUACCUCAGAGUCAACUUUAAAGAGAGAGCAAGUUCAAACAGACUCAUGCAUCUAUCUCACCUCAGGCCUCAAAAAGGAAGGAAAACCCUGAUCCUAAAUACGACUCAAACUCAGGUUCAGCAGAGCAGCCAGGUCUCCACAACACCUCUCAUAACCCAUCAAGCCCACAGAUACUUG